rnacentral:rRNA from 1 species
UACGUAGGGCGCAAGCGUUGUCCGGAAUUAUUGGGCGUAAAGAGCUCGUAGGCGGUUUGUUGCGUCGGCUGUGAAAUCCCGAGGCUCAACCUCGGGUCUGCAGUCGAUACGAGCAAACUAGAGUGUUGCAGGGGAGACUGGAAUUCCUGGUGUAGCGGUGAAAUGCGCAGAUAUCGGGGGGAACACCGGUGGCGAAGGCGGUUCUCUGGGCCUUACCUGACGCUGAGGAGCGAAAGCGUGGGGAGCGAACAGG